rnacentral:ncRNA from 1 species
UCAAAGACGUUGAAAGAGAAAUAGUAGUUUACUUUGGUUGACACAAGAGAACUGACGCCUGGUGCGAGUCAGUCGGACAAAGUCAAACGAAUUACCCUCUGGAGUCGCUUACCGACAUAAGGUCAGCCGGGUACGCCCGUUAAAGCGCACUGAGUGUGUCACAUCGAAACCGAGCACUCAAAAAGUCCACUGUAGUGAUGCAGUGGUAAACAAAGGUGGUACCGCCAUAAAUGGCCCUUGUU